GAGAUUAUGUUAUAAUAGAAAAGUAGAAAGUUUAUGACGGUGGCAAUUUCUCUAUAAAGGGGGAAUGCCUAUGUUUUUCAUUGUUUGCUUUUUCCCUAGAAGGGAGUAGCCUUGUCUGUUUAUGAAGCAUUAAUGUUUGCGAUAGCAUUCGCAACGUUAAUACUGAAGAUCAGCAACAAAAA
rnacentral:sRNA from 1 species